AGCAAAUAGAUACCCUGGUAGUCCACGCCGUAAACGAUGGGUGCUAGUUGUCGGGCAGCUUGCUGUUCGGUGACGCAGCUAACGCAUUAAGCACCCCGCCUGGGAGUACGGUCGCAAGAUUAAACUCAAGGAAUUGACGGGGCCGGCACAAGCGGUGGAGCAUGUGGUUUAAUUUACGACGCAACGCGCAGAACCGUUACCAACCCUUGUACAUCCCGGUCGCGCUUUCCAGAGAUGGAUCGCUUCAGUUCGGUCUGGACCGGAGACAGGUGUUGCAUGGCUGUCGUCAGCUCGUGUCGUGAGAUGUU
rnacentral:rRNA from 1 species